AUACGUAGGUGACAAGCGUUAUCCGGAUUUACUGGGCGUAAAGGGCGUGUAGGCGGUCUUGCAAGUCAGAAGUGAAAUUCCUGAGCUCAACUCGGGCGCUGCUUCUGAAACUGCAGGACUUGAGUGCUGGAGGGGAUAGCGGAAUUCCUAGUGGAGCGGUAAAAUGCGCAGAUAUUAGGAAGAACACCGGUGGCGAAGGCGGCUAUCUGGACAGUAACUGGCGCUGAGGCGCGAAAGCCAGGGGAGCGAAGGGGAUUAGAUCCCCCGGUAGUCCACGCCGUAAACGAUGAAUACUAGGUGUAGGGGGUAUCGACUCCCUCUGUGCCGCAGUUAACACAAUAAGUAUUCCGCCUGGGGAGUACGGCCGCAAGGUUGAAACUCAAAGGAAUUGACGGGG
rnacentral:rRNA from 1 species